CAGCCGCCGCGGUAAUACGUAGGGUGCGAGCGUUAAUCGGAUUUACUGGGCGUAAAGCGUGCGCAGGCGGCCCGUUAAGACAGGUGUGAAAUCCCUGGGCUCAACCUAGGAAUUGCGCUUGUGACUGGCGGGCUCGAGUACGGUAGAGGGGGGUGGAAUUCCUGGUGUAGCAGUGAAAUGCGUAGAGAUCAGGAGGAACACCGAUGGCGAAGGCAGCCCCCUGGGCCUGUACUGACGCUCAUGCACGAAAGCGUGGGGAGCAAACAGGAUUAGAUACCCUGGUAGUCCACGCCCUAAACGAUGGGUACUAGCCGUUUGGUGCGCGAUAGCGCUGAGUGGCGAAGCUAACGCGUGAAGUACCCCGCCUGGGGAGUACGGCCGCAAGGUUGAAACUUAAAGGAAUUGGGGGG
rnacentral:rRNA from 1 species